rnacentral:lncRNA from 1 species
CUUUAUGACGCAGUAUAUUCUAUUUAUACAAUUAUACAAAUGCUGAAUGCAUAAAUCACACCAGUAAAUAUGUUAGACAAAUCACUCUCUUAAAAACAUAUAUUGCAUAUUUCUACAAAUGAUAAAAUAUAAAGGUCAUUUGUUAUCUUUAAUACAUUUUAAACUCGUAGCAACUGAACAUCUAAGAAGAAGAUCCCACAG